CGGGACGGGUGAGUAAUGUCUGGGAAACUGCCUGAUGAGGGGGAGUAACUACUGGAAACGGUAGCUAAUACCGCAUAACGUCGCAAGACCAAAGAGGGGGACCUUCGGGCCUCUUGCCAUCGGAUGUGCCCAGAUGGGAUUAGCUAGUAGGUGGGGUAACGGCUCACCUAGGCGACGAUCCCUAGCUGGUCUGAGAGGAUGACAGCCACACUGGAACUGAGACACGGUCCAG
rnacentral:rRNA from 1 species